GACGAACGCUGGCGGCGUGCUUAACACAUGCAAGUCGAACGGAAAGGCCCUGCUUUUGUGGGGUGCUCGAGUGGCGAACGGGUGAGUAACACGUGAGUAACCUGCCCUUGACUUUGGGAUAACGUCAGGAAACUGGGGCUAAUACCGGAUAGGAGCUCCUGCUGCAUGGUGGGGGUUGGAAAGUUUCGGCGGUUGGGGAUGGACUCGCGGCUUAUCAGCUUGUUGGUGGGGUAGUGGCUUACCAAGGCUUUGACGGGUAGCCGGCCUGAGAGGGUGACCGGCCACAUUGGUACUGAGAUACGGCCCAGACUCCUACGGGAGGCAGCAGUGGGGAAUAUUGCACAAUGGGCGGAAGCCUGAUGCAGCAACGCCGCGUGCGGGAUGACGGCCUUCGGGUUGUAAACCGCUUUCGCCUGUGACGAAGCGUGAGUGACGGUAAUGGGUAAAGAAGCACCGGCUAACUACGUG
rnacentral:rRNA from 1 species